CAUGGUGCAGACGACGUCUGGUGAUGCGAUGGAGAUACAGACAAGAACAGUGCAAGCAGAAGACGCGUCUGGCAACCUUA
rnacentral:pre_miRNA from 1 species